CCGCGGUAAUACGGAGGGAGCUAGCGUUGUUCGGAAAUACUGGGCGUAAAGCGCACGUAGGCGGCACUGCAAGUCAGGGGUGAAAUCCCGGGGCUCAACCUCGGAACUGCCCUUGAAACUGCAGCGCUAGAAUCUUGGAGAGGCGAGUGGAAUUCCGAGUGUAGAGGUGAAAUUCGUAGAUAUUCGGAAGAACACCAGUGGCGAAGGCGGCUCACUGGCCUGGUAUUGACGCUGAGGUGCGAAAGCGUGGGGAGCAAACAGG
rnacentral:rRNA from 1 species